rnacentral:rRNA from 1 species
AUCCCCAAUAAGCCGAAAUGUGAAAUGGUUUCCGCUCGCAGAGGAGCUCGCGUCCGAUUAGUUAGUUGGUGGGGUAAGAGCCUACCAAGGCAGCGAUCGGUAGCUGGUCUGAGAGGAUGAGCAGCCACACUGUGACUGAGACACGGUCCAGACUCCUACGGGAGGCAGCAGUGGGGAAUUUUCCGCAAUGGGCGCAAGCCUGACGGAGCAACGCCGCGUGUGGGAAGAAGGCUCUUGGGCUGUCAACCACUUUUCUCAGGGAAGAAGUCCUGACGGUACCUGAGGAAUCAGCCUCGGCUAACUCCGUGCCAGCAGCCGCGGUAAUACGGAGGAGGCAAGCGUUAUCCGGAAUUAUUGGGCGUAAAGCGUCCGCAGGGGGCACUUCAAGUCUGCUGUCAAAGGUCGGAGCUUAACUCCGGUUCGGCAGUGGAAACUGGAGCGCUAGAGGGCGACAGGGGUAGAGGGAAUUCCCAGUGUAGCGGUGAAAUGCGUAGAGAUUGGGAAGAACACCGGUGGCGAAAGCGCUCUACUGGGUCGCACCUGACCCUCAGGGACGAAAGCUAAGGUAGCGAAAGGGAUUAGAUACCCCUGUAGUCUUAGCCGUAAACGAUGGAUACUAGGCGUGGUUUGUAUCGACCCAAGCAGUGCCGAAGCUAACGCGUUAAGUAUCCCGCCUGGGGAGUACGCACGCAAGUGUGAAACUCAAAGGAAUUGACGGGGGCCCGCACAAGCGGUGGAGGAUGUGGUUUAAUUCGAUGCAACGCGAAGAACCUUACCAGGGCUUGACAUCCCGCGAAUCUCGCUGAAAGGCGAGAGUGCCUUCGGGAGCGCGGAGACAGAUGGUGCAUGGCUGUCGUCAGCUCGCGUCGUGAGAUGUUGGGU